rnacentral:misc_RNA from 1 species
UCCGGCUUGUCACCGGCAGUUCCCCUAGAGUGCCCGGCCGAACCGAUGGCAACUAAGGGCGAGGGUUGCGCUCGUUGCGGGACUUAACCCAACAUCUCACGACACGAGCUGACGACAGCCAUGCACCACCUGUGAAGGUGUCCCGAAGGAAAACCGUGUUUCCACGGUUGUCACCUACAUGUCAAACCCAGGUAAGGUUCUUCGCGUUGCGUCGAAUUAAACCACAUGCUCCGCUGCUUGUGCGGGUCCCCGUCAAUUCCUUUGAGUUUUAACCUUGCGGCCGUACUCCCCAGGCGGAGAGCUUAAUGCGUUUGCUGCGUCACCGAGAAGUAAACUCCCCGACAACUAGCUCUCAUCGUUUACAGCGUGGACUAC